GUUUAUUCUCAGGGCGGGGUGCAAUUCCCCACCGGCGGUGAUUCUUUAUUUAUUAAAGACAGCCCGCGAGCGCCUUUUUCAAUCGGUGAAAAAGGGUCAGCAGAUCCGGUGUAAAUCCGGAGCCGACGGUUAUAGUCCGGAUGGAAGAGAGUAAGA
rnacentral:ncRNA from 1 species